rnacentral:misc_RNA from 1 species
AAAGUCGUAACAAGGUUUCCGUAGGUGAACCUGCGGAAGGAUCAUUAUUGAAAUAGAUCGUCAGUCUACUCUGGCGCUCUUUGGGUUGUCGGCGGACCGCAUGCUCCAAGCAAUUGGAGUGGUCCGCUGCAUCCUGAAAACCACAGUGUGCACCGUACAUAUUGCAUUUGCGUAAUGUUCUAUUUUUUUUUCUCUUGUCUGAUGUUGAACUUCUGAUUUUGGCUUUAUCGCUGAAAGACUGAAUUAAAACAACUUUUAACAAUGGAUCUCUUGGCUCUC